GGAGACCACUUCAGUAGUAGUCAGAGAAGACAUAAGAAUGAGUGAUUCCUGAGCAGGUUAGCUCAUCAAAGGUUGGACGGGGACUUAUCAAGUGAUUCUGGAGGGAGUGAGUAGUACUUGAGGCUGGGGGAUACCUUGAAAGGACUACAGAUGAAGGGGGGAAUGAUGGGGAAAUCUUGUGUGGCCAAUGACCAGUUAAGGGCAGUUAGGCAAGAAUAGCUACAGUGCAGAGACAGGGUUUUGGAAAUUCCAGGAAAUGAGGUGGAAAUCGUGGGCAAGUCAUGUGCAGAGUCACCUAUGUGUGUCAUGUGUUAUGCACAGGAAAUGUGGGGUGCUCUUUUAUCCUAGAAACACGGUCUCCUUGGCUUCCAUGCUGCGUAGUCUCCUAUCUUCUUCUCAACCAGGUCUGCAAGUCGUGGUUCCUUUCCUUCUGUUAUGUCUGACAGUCUUUCUGAGGACUCAGGCUGGAGCCUCUCUUAAUGAUUUACUUGUUUUUGUCUUAUGUGUAUGGCUAUUUUUGUCUGCCUUUGUGCCUGUGUUCCAUGUGUAUACAGCCCACAGAAACCAGAAGAAGGUGUCAGCCCCCCCUAGAACUGGAAUUACAGGGCACAACUGGUUUCAUGGAAAAGAUGUCACUCAGACGGAUCAGAUUCACCAGAUGGAAAGGCAGUACGGCCCCAGCUUCAGCUAGCAAGGAAAUGGGGGUGUCUCUGUAGCCAUAUGAACAUAACAGAAGACCCUGUGUUCUAGAGGAGACUCAGUGCAGCAUCUGGGUGUCAACUCUGUGAGACCUGGGCUGCUGUGGUUGGACUUCUUUCCCGCAGGAGUGAGAGCCAACACGUCAGAGUCUGAAACUGUUGAAUCAGUGGCCAUUUGCUGUGGGACAAUAGAGCAAAAUUCAAGCAGCACGAUGGAGGGAAAACGUCCACUUCAGGCUUGCUGAGGACUGACCAGGAAAAUGACUAGAGGCGGAGAACCUGGCUCACACUGGUCAGCCUUACUCUGUGUGCUUCCUCCUGGCACCUGACACUCAUUCACUUUCAUCAGCUUCCUGUACAUCUACCUUGGGAGAUGUAGACACAGCUGGAAUUCAGCACCUGCUGACUGAACUUGCAUCUGAGUUAAACUACCACAACUCCUUUUCAUUUGUUUUCAAAGACAGUGUCUCCUGAAUCCUGGACUAGCCUUGAACUCCCUACAUACCUGAGGGUAACCUUGAACUCCUGAUCCUCUGGCUUCCACCUCCCAAAUGCUGGGAUUAUUCAUGUAUUUUAGAACCCAGAAAAGCUAUACACCCUAAUGAGGUAUUUAGUCAUAAUUUACUAUGUCCUGAAGCUACUUGUAGCUGUAGUUGAUUAAUCUGCU
rnacentral:lncRNA from 1 species